rnacentral:rRNA from 1 species
GCAUAUCAAUAAGCGGAGGAAAAGAAACUAACAAGGAUUCCCCUAGUAACGGCGAGUGAAGCGGGAUGAGCUCAAAUUUAAAAUCUGGCUGGUUUACCAGUCCGAGUUGUAGUUUAAAGAAGCGUUUUCGGUGGCAGUCUCGGUAUAAAUCCUUUGGAAUAGGGUAUCAUAGAGGGUGAGAAUCCCGUCUUUGACUGAGAAUAUGCUACUAUGUGAUACGUUUUCAAAGAGUCGAGUUGUUUGGGAAUGCAGCUCAAAAUGGGUGGUAAAUUUCAUCUAAAGCUAAAUAUUGGCGAGAGACCGAUAGCGAACAAGUACCGUGAGGGAAAGAUGAAAAGAACUUUGAAAAGAGAGUUAAACAGUGCGUGAAAUUGUUGAAAGGGAAACGCUUGAAACCAGUCAUGCGGUUGGGAAAUCAGUCUCUGACGGGGGGGAAUGGGGGAGUUGUGGACCGCAAGGCCGCUCUUUUUCAUAUCUCUUUUGGCAGGGAUGCACUUUUUCUUCUGCAGGUCAACAUCAGUUUGCUUUGCCGGACAAAACUUGGGGGAAGGUGACAGCUUAGGCUGUGUUAUAGCCCUCGAGCGAUACGGUGGAGCGGACUGAGGUUUUCGCAGCAUGUGCUCUCGGGCAAGGCUGAUUGGGUGCUAUGAGAUCGUUCAGGGUACAAUACAUGUAUUUUGCUCUGUGUCCUUUUUAUACUCGCUCAACUCGGCUCUUCCAUGCUUAGGAUGUUGACAUAAUGGUUUUAAUCGACCCGUCUUGAAACACGGACCAAGGAGUCUAACAUAUAUGCAAGUGUUUGGGUGGCAAACCCAUGCGCGUAAUGAAAGUGAACGUAGGUGCGAUCCGCAAGGUGCAGCAUCGACCGAUCUUGAUAUUUUUGGAUAGAUUUGAGUAAGAGCAUAUAUGCUGGGACCCGAAAGAUGGUGAACUAUGCCUGAAUAGGGUGAAGCCAGAGGAAACUCUGGUGGAGGCUCGUAGCGAUUCUGACGUGCAAAUCGAUCGUCAAAUUUGGGUAUAGGGGCGAAAGACUAAUCGA